UGACGGAAGCUUGCUUCCGUUCAAGUUAGCGGCGGACGGGUGAGUAACACGUGGGUAACCUGCCUGUAAGACUGGGAUAACUCCGGGAAACCGGGGCUAAUACCGGAUAUUCUUUUUCUUCGCAUGAAGAAGAAUGGAAAGGCGGCUUUUAGCUGUCACUUACAGAUGGACCCGCGGCGCAUUAGCUAGUUGGUGAGGUAACGGCUCACCAAGGCAACGAUGCGUAGCCGACCUGAGAGGGUGAUCGGCCACACUGGGACUGAGACACGGCCCAGACUCCUACGGGAGGCAGCAGUAGGGAAUCUUCCGCAAUGGACGAAAGUCUGACGGAGCAACGCCGCGUGAGUGAAGAAGGUUUUCGGAUCGUAAAGCUCUGUUGUCAGGGAAGAACAAGUACGGAAGUAACUGUCCGUACCUUGACGGUACCUGACCAGAAAGCCACGGCUAACUACGUGCCAGCAGCCGCGGUAAUACGUAGGUGGCAAGCGUUGUCCGGAAUUAUUGGGCGUAAAGCGCGCGCAGGCGGCUUCUUAAGUCUGAUGUGAAAGCCCACGGCUCAACCGUGGAGGGUCAUUGGAAACUGGGAGGCUUGAGUGCAGAAGAGGAGAGCGGAAUUCCACGUGUAGCGGUGAAAUGCGUAGAGAUGUGGAGGAACACCAGUGGCGAAGGCGGCUCUCUGGUCUGUAA
rnacentral:rRNA from 1 species